UAGUUGCUAUUAAAAGACCUCUUGGGGACCACAAUGCAGUGAUUGUUGUGAAAGUGCUUGUAAUUCAACUACUAAUGAGACAAACACACUUGAAGAUAAAGAAUUACAGUGUUGGAAGAUAGGAAUAAACAAAAAGAAGGCAAGGCCUAACUCUGCCUUAAGGAAUUGAUGAACCUCUCUUCAAGGAGGAGCUGAGUUAAGAUACAACCGAGAAGUAAGAUUUCUCAGGUUGAAGAAGAAUAGAGAGGCACAUUUGAAGCAUGAGAAAUGCCUUUGAAGGGUGCAAAAUUAUGGACUUCAGUGAAAGUCAAAAUGUUUGUACAGCUGGAUAGGGAAAAA
rnacentral:lncRNA from 1 species